rnacentral:rRNA from 1 species
UACGGGGGGGGCAAGCGUUGUUCGGAAUUACUGGGCGUAAAGGGCUCGUAGGUGGCCAACUAAGUCGGACGUGAAAUCCCUCGGCUUAACCGGGGAACUGCGUCUGAUACUGGAUGGCUUGAGUUCGGGAGAGGGAUGCGGAAUUCCAGGUGUAGCGGUGAAAUGCGUAGAUAUCGGGAGGAACGUCAGUGGCGAAGGCGGCUACCUGGCCCAAUACUGACACUCAGGUGCGACAGCGUGGGGAGCAAACAGG